UUAGCUACUUUAGAUAGGUUUGUAUUCAUGAAUUAUGGAUACAAACACCAAACAACUGGUUUGUAUCUAUGAUGGCUAAAGAACUUUGUAUUACGCAAAAGCCACGUAGACAUUACGUUAAGUGGCUAAGCGAAAAGUACAAAGUAAUCACGAUUUCUUACUUACAUACUCUUUCGAUACUCAAU
rnacentral:ncRNA from 19 species